UAUCUCCAACCAAUCUUGGUCUCAAGAAAGAGAAGCUAAGCCACCUCCACUUCUACUUCCAUGACAUAGUUAGCGGCCGAAACCCUUCUGCAAUUAAGGUCGUCCUACCACCCAAUAACGCCUCCAGUACGGGGUUUGGAAUGGUGGCGAUGAUCGAUGACCCCUUAACUGUAAAGCCCGAAAUCAGCUCAAAACUUGUAGGUAGAGCACAAGGGAUUUAUGCGUCUGCCUCGCAGAGUGAAGAUGGGUUGCUAAUGGUUAUGAACUUUGCUUUCAUGGAAGGCAAAUAUAACGGAAGUGGUCUCA
rnacentral:misc_RNA from 1 species